rnacentral:rRNA from 1 species
UCGAAUGGAAGCUUGCUUCCGUUCGGUUAGCGGCGGACGGGUGAGUAACACGUGGGCAACCUGCCCGUAAGACCGGGAUAACUUCGGGAAACCGGAGCUAAUACCGGAUAACACCGAAGACCGCAUGGUCUUUGGUUGAAAGACGGCUUUGGCUGUCACUUACGGAUGGGCCCGCGGCGCAUUAGCUAGUUGGUGAGGUAACGGCUCACCAAGGCGACGAUGCGUAGCCGACCUGAGAGGGUGAUCGGCCACACUGGGACUGAGACCCGGCCCAGACUCCUACGGGAGGCAGCAGUAGGGAAUCUUCCGCAACGGACGAAAGUCUGACGGAGCAACGCCGCGUGAGCGAAGAAGGUCUUCGGAUUGUAAAGCUCUGUUGUUGGGGAAGAAC